rnacentral:rRNA from 1 species
UACGUAGGGUGCAAGCGUUAAUCGGAAUUACUGGGCGUAAAGCGUGCGCAGGCGGUUUUGUAAGUCUGUCGUGAAAUCCCCGGGCUUAACCUGGGAACUGCGUUUGAAACUGGAAGGCUUGAGUGUGGCAGAGGGGGGUGGAAUUCCACGUGUAGCAGUGAAAUGCGUAGAUAUGUGGAGGAACACCGAUGGCGAAGGCAGCCCCCUGGGCUAACACUGACGCUCAUGCACGAAAGCGUGGGGAGCAAACAGG